rnacentral:lncRNA from 1 species
GGAGACUCUAAGACUUCUGAAGAGUUUCUUGCUUCUUUCCUGUGGGGCAGUGACUCCACUUCCCAGCAGUAAUGGAAUAUCCUGAAUUAGCUACAUUAAUGUUAGAACCAUUUGGACCUCACCCAGGACUUCAACUACAUUAUGCUAAAGUUACAGAACCCAAAUUUGGCAACUGUCUGCAUCUGAACAACAGAAGUUUCAACAUUCUGCCAACAGAGUAACUCCUGGACGAUUGGCACAGAAGAAGGCACAAGGUUCUAGUAUGUUACGUUUAUGUUCCCCUGCUUUCUACAAUCCUGUUCAAAGAGUUGCUGACUUAACCACAGAGAGGAUUCCAGAACCUGAGACACAGAAUAAACUUGAGCAAUCAUAGUCCAUCCACUUCAUUGUCUCAUCAAAAACCAAAGGUCCAGUGAAGCUCUGGAACUCAACGCUGUAAAGGAGCGAAGGAGCUUCUAUACAGAGCCUGGAUGCCUGUCUCCUUAUCCUACUUCAGUGGACUUGACUGCAAUCCGGAUUAUGCUGUUUUCUAAGCAUUUAAAAUAAAAUAAAAAGUAUAA